UCUGAAUACCCAGGAUGCUAGCAUAGUCCUCCAUCAAAGGUCCCAACAAGUAAUCCGGGAAAACGAAACAUCUCAAGCCCGGGUCAUAAAACUGGAGAAGAGUAUGAAUGACGCUCCUAUCACUGUCUGUGAGCCUGAAAACCAACUUCAGAAUACCACCGUAUGCCUCUCGAAACAUCCCCACAUGGUCGGGUGUAAUCAAUGCUAUCAUAUC
rnacentral:lncRNA from 1 species